GUCUACGGCCAUACCACCCUGAUCCUGGAAGCUAAGCAUCGUCGAGCCUGGCCAGUACUUGGAUGGGAGACUGCUUGGGAAUAUCGGGUUCUGUAGGCA
ensembl:rRNA 5S_rRNA 5S ribosomal RNA